UUAAUUAUCCUAAUAUAGCACACACAUUUGCACAGUGAGUCUGUGUUUCAUUUUAAUAUAUUGUGUAUAAUACAGGAAAAACAUGGGGAACUUCUUUCUAGAUUUGAGUUACAACCCUGCUAAUUUUAAAGCUGCUUAUUGUAACUCACGAACUAUGUUAGUUAUAGGAACUCUUAAUUUGAGCAACUGUGAUUAAUAGUAGUACCAAUUAUUAUUUAGAAAUUACUUUUUUACUUGAUUUUUUAGUUAAAGUUCUUUUCCAUUAUUAUAAAUGAGUAUCAUUUUUAAUUAGGCACACGGGCCAUAAAAAUGAGAGGUAAAGGAUAGAAAGUUUCCUCAAUGACACAAAUUCUCAGGCAGUUUCUGGAUCUGAAGAUGGUUGUGUUUACAUGUGGGACCUAAUUGAAGAGAUGCAAACAGGGAUACUAUAGGCUCUCAGUCAUUGAAUGCAAACACGAAAAAGAAAAUUCCCUGCUUGGGUUACCAACACAGUAGCUGGGAUUGAAAGAAGGCAUCGAGAGAAGAUGGAAAUUUUUAACAAAUACUUAAACUUUGAAUUGAAAAUAAUUGAAAAAUGAUUUGACACUUAUUUUAAAAUCUUGCUACAGACUUCUCUGCUUGUAACCAUUUCUGUGUUUAAAUAUUUUAUUAUUUGCUACCCCAUUUUUAAUUCGGUGCUUUUCAAAAACAAUUUUUCAUCAAACUUCUUAAAAAAUUUAAUACAAAUAACUAACUAAUCCAAAAAUAAGAUUUCUUUUUUCUAUAUGAGUCAUUCGAUUGCAAAACUUGUUUAAGUUAGAUUGAAUUUUUCUCCUAAAUUUUAUUGGUCGAAAUAAUAACAUUUUUUAACUAAUUUAUCCAGCUAACUACUUGAAAUUUGUAUGAAAGUUUAUAAUAAAAGUUAAAAUUUCAUUUUGGGGGUAAAAAAAAAAACUUGUUCUGAUUUCAAUUCAAGUAAAAAUAAAUGAAAACGUUGAGGAGGAAUAACUAGUUUUGCUUUUGGAUUAUUCAUUCAACAUUACCCAUUUGUUAUUCACCCAUAUCAGUUUAAAUAUUAAAGCUAUUAAUAGAAAUCUGGAAAAAAUAAAUAUGAUCUUUUCAUCACUGCACACAAUUAUAUCUACAAAAAAGAUUGCUUUCUAAUAUUGUAUCAAUGUAGUUAAAGCAAAAUAUAUCAAUACAACAGUGUGAGGAGCACUUAAAAAAUAAAAAAAGCAAUCCUUUUUGCAGAAAUAAUCAUGUGAGCUGAU